rnacentral:rRNA from 1 species
UACGUAGGGCGCAAGCGUUGUCCGGAAUUAUUGGGCGUAAAGAGCUCGUAGGCGGCUUGUCACGUCGGUUGUGAAAGCCCCGGGGCUUAACCCCGGGUCUGCAGUCGAUACGGGCAGGCUAGAGUGUGGUAGGGGAGAUCGGAAUUCCUGGUGUAGCGGUGAAAUGCGCAGAUAUCAGGAGGAACACCGGUGGCGAAGGCGGGUCUCUGGGCAACAACUGACGCUGAGGAGCGAAAGCGUGGGGAGCGAACAGG